UUAGAAGGUUAUCCAAUGCCCGAUCAUUAGUAUAUUUUGCAGUAAUACCUCAACGUUCACGGUCUCUGUAGUAAUUCCUCAACAUCAGGGAUCUCUUCCAGUCAAACCUGAACAUUCACGGAUUCCUUCUAGCCAUCCCUGAACAUCCGUAGUCUUCCAAACUAACUAUUAAUCGAAACAAAGAUUGAAGGGAAGGUCAGACCAUCUCCCCACCUAAUCCCCUGUCGGUAAUAGCUUCCACAAAACAAACGCCUCGCUUCCAACCUCUUCCCCGUUAAUUAGAAGAUUACCCAAUGCCUGAAACUAUAUGAAGUCUCUCGCAUACUGUCCUAAAAACUGAUCUUUCCCUAAAUCGAAAUAAGGAUUGAAGGGAAGGUCAGACCGUCUCUCCACCUGAUCCCCUGUCGAUAAUAGCUUCCACAAAACAAACCUCCGAUACCCUACGCCCCUGUCCACCCAGCAGUGAAUGGGUACCAGGUAUUAAUCGAGGGUUGUGUCCCGUCUCCUGGGGUCUGUUCCCUUCUCCUAUAAUUCCUUCCCCUUCUGUCUCUCUCCGGCAUAUGACCACAGAUGUUGGGCCCACUAAACAAAACUUUCCCUUCUCCUAUAAUUCCUUCCCCUUCUGUCUCUCUCCGGCAUAUGACCACAGAUGUUGUGCCCACUAAACAAAACUUUCCCUUCUCCUUUAAUCCUUCCCCUUCUGUCUCUCUCCGGCAUAUGACCACAGAUGUUGCGCCGACUAAACAAAACUUUCCCUUCUCCUAUAAUUCCUUCCCCUUCUGUCUCUCUCCGGCAUAUGACCACAUAUGUUGCGCCGACUAAACAAAACUUUCCCUUCUCCUAUAAUUCCUUCCCCUUCUGUCCCUCUCCGGCAUAUGACCACAGAUGUUGCGCCCACUAAACAAAACUUUCCCUUCUCCUAUAAUUCCUUCCCCUUCUGUCUCUCUCCGGCAUAUGACCACAGAUGUUGCGCCGACUAAACAAAACUUUCCCUUCUCCUAUAAUUCCUUCCCCUUCUGUCUCUCUCCGGCAUAUGACCAAAGAUGUUGCGCCCACUAAACAAAACUCUCCAACUUAUCUAUCCACAGAAUCAUGGCCUCUGGUGCAGUGGUCAGUGUAAGGGAUAUAUUCUUAGUUACCACGACAUCCUAAGAGAUUUUGAGCAAUAUUACCUAUCAAAUAUAUUUUAUCUAUCCCCAGAAAUUCAGCCUCCGUGGUGCAGUGGUUAGUGUGCCUACGUAUGAAUCCACUGGCCAGGGUUCGAAUCCCAGCCCGGGCAGUCAACAUGCAGGUGUUGCUCCUCCCUUAGUGUGUGUGUGGGGGGUAAAUUUGCGCCUGGGGACCCCUGGGUAACGCACAUUGUGGUAACCUGGAUGUCCCUCCUGCCCUGUGUCCUGGGGUGCUGGAUUCCUGCUCCCCACAGGCUCAAGGCGCAAGGAGACCACUGUUGCCAGAUUAUCGUUCACGGAGCGGCGAGUAGCGGGCUUCUUCUUCUUCUCUUUUUUUUUUUUGACAUUUUAUUGCCCUUGAGCCGUGUCCUCUGAUGUAACAAAAAAAAAAAGGAUAUGAGGCAAAGUACGACAAUCUGGCAACACUGGACGACACGGAGAUGACCACCAAGGACACGCCCAGCUAUACCGUAUACCACAAACUUUACCUUUACUGAAACAGACUAAAUUUUCGGUAAAGUUUAAGUUUGUUGAUUAGGGUGCAGCUGGUCACGUCCUCAGUGCUUAGAGGGACCAUUAAGAAGUUGGAAAGUUUUGUUUAGUGGGCGCAACAUCUGUGGUCAUAUGCUGGAGAGAGACGGAAGGGGAAGGAAUUAUAGGAGAAGGGAAAGUUUUGUUUAGUCGGCGCAACAUCUGUGGUCAUAUGCCGGAGAGAGACGGAAGGGGAAGGAAUUAUAGGAGAAGGGAAAGUUUUGUUUAGUCGGCGCAACAUCUGUGGUCAUAUGCCGGAGAGAGACAGAAGGGGAAGGAAUUAUAGGAGAAGGGAAAGUUUUGUUUAGUCAGCGCAACAUCUGUGGUCAUAUGCUGGAAAGAGACGGAAGGGGAAGGAAUUAUAGGAGAAGGGAACAGACCCCAGGAGACGGGACACAACCCUGGAUUAAUACCUGGUACCCAUUCACUGCUGGGUGGACGGGGGCGUAGGGUAUCGGAAAAGCCACCAAAAUUUUUCCACUCCGCCCGGGAACUGUGGAUAGAUAAACUUGUGAAUGAACUUUAUGAUUACGUUAACAUUAUAGGAAGACUUCAUUGCGUUCCUGUGCCCUCGGAACACCACAGGAACCUUACACUCCAGUCUGUGACCCUCGUACUGUGUCUGUCAUGCUCGGAAAGUCUUUAAAUAAAUGUCUGGGGAUUGUU